CCUACGGGAGGCAGCAGUGAGGAAUUUUGCGCAAUAGGGGAAACCCUGACGCAGCAACGCCGCGUGAGUGAAGAAGGCCCUCGGGUCGUAAAGCUCUGUCAAGUGGGAAAAAAGCUUACUGGUAAAUAGCCAGCAAGACUGAUGGUACCAUUGAAGGAAGCACCGGCUAACUCCGUGCCAGCAGCCGCGGUAAUACGGAGGGUGCAAGCGUUGUUCGGAAUUACUGGGCGUAAAGGGCGUGUAGGCGGUGUGGUAAGUCAGAUGUGAAAGCCCUGGGCUUAACCCAGGAAGUGCAUUUGAAACUGCCAUGCUUGAGUAUGGGAGAGGAGAGUGGAAUUCCCAGUGUAGAGGUGAAAUUCGUAGAUAUUGGGAGGAACACCCGUGGCGAAGGCGACUCUCUGGACCAAUACUGACGCUGAGGCGCGAAAGCGUGGGGAGCAAACAGGAUUAGAUACCCUGGUAGUCCACGCUGUAAACGAUGAGCACUAGGUGUAGCGGGUAUUGACCCCUGCUGUGCCGUAGCUAACGCAUUAAGUGCUCCGCCUGGGGAGUACGGCCGCAAGGCUAAAACUCAAAGGAAUUGACGG
rnacentral:rRNA from 1 species